GAGGGGAGGGGAGGGGGGGGGGGGGCCUGAUCCUAGAUCAGCACUGCUACAUGGGAUGCUUUGUCAAUACGAGCCAUGCUAAAAUCCCGCACUGGUUCAGUCAGUGCUGUCAUUACCGGCAGACAUACAAUAACAUCAUUAAGAUCCAGUCAGCCUCAGAAGCCCAGGCUUCCAUGACAUUUGGAAGGACGGCCUCGCAAGACUAACAUGCAGUAUCGUCUCAAACACCUGUGUAAAACUCCCCCUUGAGAUCAACACACACACACACACACACACACACACACACACCUAGCAGUCUCUAAUCCUCUUGUUUUAGUAACCACUUUUCUGGAUUGGAGGUGGGGCUAAGUGGGAGGGGACAGAGAGAGGUGGGGCUAAGUGGGAGGGGACAGAGAGAGGUGGGGCUAAGUGGGAGGGACAGAGAGAGGUGGGGCUAAGUGGGAGGGACAGAGAGAGGUGGGGCUAAGGGACAGAGAGGUGGGG